rnacentral:lncRNA from 1 species
AUUGACUAAAUUGGGAGCUCCCAUCAUGGCAUAAAAAUUAGAACUGAAAAAUUACUGAGACUGUUAAAAAAGCCUUGUGCAAUUGAAAUGUCACAGGGUAAGUCAUUGUAACUUAGGGCCACAUCUCUCUGCAGAUCUGUAAAUCCCCACCAGCAAUUCUGAUAUGUACAGAGAAGGACCCUCCAUUGUCACUUGUUUCAAAGAAACCGAAUUUUCAGUUGUUUAGACAUUAAUUUUCCAGUACAUACCAUGUCAAGCAGAGAAAACAUCAGUU